AAGUGCCUACCACGCCACCCCCUAUCUGCAAGAAUCCAUCUGAAGAGGUCGCGGGGCAGCGGCUCCGCAGACAGACUGACCUGCGGGGAGGUGCGGUUUCCAGUGGCGCGGGACAAGCCGGCUCCGAGAGGGAACUGGGACCUUUGCCUAGGGCAAGACGUCAACAGGAACCCGCAGGCCCGCCCUGGACACCUGCUUCCCGCACUGGAGGCUUUAACUCCCACUCGAGUCUCUUGGCGUCGUCAGUGCCAGGAGCGCUUGGAUUGGGAUGGGGACGGAGAAAGGUGCCUCGCUCGCCGAGCCCCGCUGCACUUGGGGACCUGGCAAAGUCGAGGUUUCCUCACAGCGUUGAGAUUGAGACUGGGGAUCGUGGUCUCAAAUAGUCAAGACCCCCUGCUGGGGGGAGCGUCUAUCCUGCUCUGUGGAAGAAAUGGGCAUGCCAGAUGCCUGGAAGAUCAGAGGCUCACAUUCCAGCUGGAACCAUGGAGGAUGUAGAAGAGAAGAAGAAGAAGGUUCCUGCUAUGCCAGAAACUCUUAAGAAAAAGGGAAGGAAUUUCGCAGAGCUG
rnacentral:antisense_RNA from 1 species